GCUACGGGUGGCUGCAGUGGGGAAUAUUGGGCAAUGGAGGAAACUCUGACCCAGUAACGCCGCGUGAAUGAUGAAGGUCUUCGGAUUGUAAAGUUCUUUUCUAAGGGAAGAAGAAAGUGACGGUACCGUAGGAAUAAGCCUCGGCUAACUACGUGCCAGCAUCCGCGGUAAUACGUAGGAGGCGAGCGGUAUACGGAAUGACUGGGCGUAAAGGGUGCGGAGGUGGUUUAGCAAGUUAGUAGCGUAACUCCAAGGCUCAAUCAUGGAACUUUUACUAAAACUGUUAGACUUGAGUGCAGGGGGGGCAAGCGGAAUUCCUAGUGUAGCGGUGGAAUGCGUAGAUAUUAGGAGGAACACCAGUGGCGAAGGCGAGUUGCUAGACUGUAACUGACACUGAGGCACGAAAGCGUGGGGAGCAAACAGGAUUAGAUACCCGAGUAGUC
rnacentral:rRNA from 1 species